rnacentral:rRNA from 1 species
AUUGAACGCUGGCGGCAUGCCUUACACAUGCAAGUCGAACGGCAGCAUGAUCUAGCUUGCUCGAUUGAUGGCGAGUGGCGAACGGGUGAGUCAUACAUCGGAACGUGCUCUGUAGCGGGGGAUAACUAGUCGAAAGAUUAGCUAAUACCGCAUACGACCUGAGGGUGAAAGUGGGGGACCGCAAGGCCUCAUGCUUUUGGAGCGGCCGUUGUUGGAUUAGCUAGUUGGUGAGGUAAAGGCUCACCAAGGCGACGAUCAGUAGCUGGUCUGAGAGGACGAUCAGCCACACUGGGACUGAGACACGGCCCAGACUCCUACGGGAGGCAGCAGUGGGGAAUUUUGGACAAUGGGCGAAAGCCUGAUCCAGCAAUGCCGCGUGUGUGAAGAAGGCCUUCGGGUUGUAAAGCACUGUUGUCCGGAAAGAAAUGGCUCUGGUUAAUACCUGGGGUCGAUGACGGUACCGGAAGAAUAAGGACCGGCUAACUACGUG